rnacentral:rRNA from 1 species
UAAGCGGAGGAAAAGAAACCAACCGGGAUUACCUCAGUAACGGCGAGUGAAGCGGUAACAGCUCAAAUUUGAAAUCUGGCUCCUACGGAGUCCGAGUUGUAAUUUGUAGAAGAUGCUUUGGGUUGUGGGUUCGGCCUAAGUUCCUUGGAACAGGACGUCAUAGAGGGUGAGAAUCCCGUAUGUGGCCGAGGCCUGCGCCUAUGUAAAGCUCUUUCAACGAGUCGAGUUGUUUGGGAAUGCAGCUCAAAAUGGGUGGUAAAUUUCAUCUAAAGCUAAAUAUGGGCCAGAGACCGAUAGCGCACAAGUAGAGUGAUCGAAAGAUGAAAAGCACUUUGGAAAGAGAGUUAAACAGUACGUGAAAUUGUUGAAAGGGAAGCGCUUGCGACCAGACUUGGGCGCUGCCGAUCACCCCGAGUUUUCUCGGGUGCACUCGACAGCGCACAGGCCAGCAUCGGUUCGGGUGGCUGGAUAAAGGCCGUAGGAACGUGGCUCCCUUCGGGGAGUGUUAUAGCCUACGGUGCCAUGCAGCCCAGCCGGACCGAGGACCGCGCCUUCGGGCUAGGAUGCUGGCGUAAUGGUUGUAAGCGACCCGUCUUGA